CUUAAAAGCAGACGCAUCUUUGUUUUCUUGUUUGCAUUUUCCAGUCUUAAAUAGAGACCUUUCAUCUGAAGAAAUUGCCAGUAUUUGUGAUCUGCGGGUUUAUCUUCAUCAGAAGUUAUCAAUGCUGGAAUGAAAACAGGACAAAUCAAGGAAGGAGAAAUAAUCCUACGAUGAAGACCACACCAAGGCCUUGUUGGAUUUACAACUAAUCAAGGAAUACAAAGGAUUUUACAGCUCUUGAGCAAAAGUUUAUUCACAGUAUUCCCGUAAAUGGAAUGGACAAUUGACGCUGUCAGCAGCAUAGGCUACCAAUACACAUCAAAGAAUGGUCACCUAUAAUACAACUUUUUCCAGUGAUUUCAUGUAUUCUUUGUACUGAUUUGGUUUAAAAUAGUAGUAUGUAUGUGAUUUAUAUAAGAACUUAUUACAACUGUUCUUGCAUA
rnacentral:lncRNA from 1 species